UACGUAGGUGACCAGCGUUGUCCGGAUUUACUGGGCGUAAAGAGCGCGCAGGCGGUCGUUCAAGUCGAGUGUGAAAGCCCCCGGCUCAACUGGGGAGGGUCAUUCGAUACUGAUCGACUCGAAGGCAGGAGAGGGAAGCGGAAUUCCCGGUGUAGUGGUGAAAUGCGUAGAUAUCGGGAGGAACACCAGUGGCGAAGGCGGGUUGCUGGGCUGACACUGACGCUGAAGCGCGAAAGCUAGGGGAGCAAACGGG
rnacentral:rRNA from 1 species